UACGUAGGGGGCAAGCGUUGUCCGGAUUUAUUGGGCGUAAAGAGCGUGUAGGCGGCUUGGAAGGUCAGCUGUGAAAACUCGAGGCUCAACCUCGAGACGUCGGUUGAAACCACCUGGCUAGAGUCCGGAAGAGGAGAGUGGAAUUCCCGGUGUAGCAGUGAAAUGCGUAGAGAUCGGGAGGAACACCAGUGGCGAAGGCGGCUACCUGGACCAGCACUGACACUGAAGCACGAAAGCGUGGGGAGCAAACAGG
rnacentral:rRNA from 1 species